rnacentral:siRNA from 1 species
CGCUUGUGGAGACGUCGCUGCC